UACGAAGGGGGCUAGCGUUGUUCGGAUUUACUGGGCGUAAAGGGUGUGUAGGCGGUUUGCCAAGUCAGGCGUGAAAGCCCCGGGCUCAACCUGGGAACUGCGCUUGAAACUGGCAGACUUGAGUAUGGGAGAGGUUAGUGGAAUUCCGAGUGUAGAGGUAAAAUUCGUAGAUAUUCGGAAGAACAUCGAUGGCGAAGGCAGCUAACUGGACCAUAACUGACGCUGAGGCACGAAAGCGUGGGGAGCAAACAGG
rnacentral:rRNA from 1 species